rnacentral:rRNA from 1 species
AUUGAACGCUAGCGGGAUGCCUUACACAUGCAAGUCGAACGGCAGCGCGGACUUCGGUCUGGCGGCGAGUGGCGAACGGGUGAGUAAUGUAUCGGAACGUGCCCAGUAGCGGGGGAUAACUACUCGAAAGAGUAGCUAAUACCGCAUACGCCCUACGGGGGAAAGGGGGGGAUCGCAAGACCUCUCACUAUUGGAGCGGCCGAUAUCGGAUUAGCUAGUGGGUGAGGUAAAGGCUCACCAAGGCGACGAUCCGUAGCUGGUUUGAGAGGACGACCAGCAACACUGGGACUGAGACACGGCCCAGACUACUACGGGAGGCAGCAGUGGGGAAUUUUGGACAAUGGGGGCAACCCUGAUCCAGCCAUUCCGCGUGUGCGAUGAAGGCCUUCGGGUUGUAAAGCACUUUUGGCAGGAAAGAAAUCGCACGGAUUAAUACUCUGUGUGGAUGACGGUACCUGCAGAAUAAGCACCGGCUAACUACGUGCCAGCAGCCGCCGUAA